AAUACUACUACUAAAACAAUGGGGGGAGAUUCAGGAAUUGUGAAAUCCUGAAGCUUAUACAAUAUUAGAUGUUUUCCUCAAGGUAAACAAUAGAAACUGACAACCACAAAGUUAGAUUAGAAAUAGGAAUAUUUAAGAGUUCCCUGGUGACUCAGCACGUUAAGUUUCAGGCAUUGUCAAUACCUUGGCUCAGGCUUCUGCUGUGGGACAGGUUCGAUCCCUGGUCCAGGAACUCCUGCCUGCCACAGGUGAGGCCAAAAAAGAAAAAAAAAAGAAAUGAAAAUACUUAUUUACAAUGAGUAAAGAAAUAAAGUUACAAUUUGUUAAAAACUGACAGGCAAAAAUAUCAGUAAAUCCAUAAGAUUUGCUCAAUAUUUUUAUGAAUCAAAAUUUUAUUAGUCAAUAUUUUAAUUAAAAAUUUUGAUAAUCUUAGGACUUCUCUCUACUUUCUUUUACCCAAUUAUUUGGCUCACUACUCUUUUACAACCUUUUUAUAUGAUAAUUAUUAUCACGCAUUAUCACUUGUGAGAAUAAUUUAAUUUUUAUUAUUGCUAGUUUAGAAAUUUUUCCUUCACCUUCAUACCUUUUAUUGGAAGUGUCAUGUAGAAUUUUAGGACUUCCAAUUUGAAAGAACAUCUAUUAAGAUGUUUUCACUUGUGAGCUGUUUUGAUGUGGGUGGCAAGUUACACAAUCCCUUACAGGAAUUCCAAUUAAUUCUGUUGUGCAAUAUUCCCAUCAAAAAGAUUUUUAAAAAAUGGCUAGCACAUUCUUUAUACAUCUUCUUUGAAAAUAUAUUUCUAAUAAAGGUGAGCUUCCAAAAGAAUCUGAAAAAGAAUAUAUGUGUGUAUGUGUAUAACUGAAUUACUUUGUUGUACAACAGAAAUUAUCACUACGUUUUAAAUCAACUAUACUUCAAUAAAACUUUUAAAAAUGAAAAAGGAAAAAGAAAAGAAAAGUGAGCUUCCAUUGUGAGUAGGUUUGGUUGAAAAAUGAGUUCACAAUUACAUUUUUCUGUUGUUGACAAAGGGGAGUUUUUGCAGGCUGUCUCUGACUCCAUCUGAUUCAAGUCCUGCUGCUCCCUCACUGCUCUCACACACCUGGGUGCCAGGGGCUCAGGAGCAUGUGCCACCUCCUAGAGCAUGAUUUGGGCCAGUGUCUGCAUGCCCCUGCACCCAGAGAGUUGGCACAGGGAAUAUAGGUAUGUAUAUGGCAGCCCUUACCCACUGGAGCCACACAAUAAAUUCACUCUUCACAGAGUGACUGGACUAUGUACAUACACUCUGCUAAACCCAGGCUAAGUAGACCCACAAGUGAGCUUCUCCUUUGUUGCAUUUCAAUUUUAUUUAUGGUCAUUCAAGAGCAGUGGACAGGAGAGGAAGCAGGAAAGUAAGUGGGGUAGUUAAAUGCAGGAGGCAAUAGACAUAGUUAAGUCUAGUUAAAAAAAAUUGUACAUUUAAAGUUUAAAAAAAGUUUGUGGUCAUAGCAUAUCAUUUAUUGCUGGAGUCUCUCCUUGGGCUUAGAAAGGCUCCUAUGCAGAUAAGUGUUCUGAAGCCUGCAGGGCUCAGGACCCUCUUGGAAAUGCCCUUGAGUGAAAGCAAAGUUAUUUGGAUUUAAAAGUUAUACCAAAACUUUCUUUUUUUUUUUUUUUUUGUCUUUUUAGGGCAGCACCUGCAGCAUAUGGAAGUUUCAAGGCUAGGGGUUGAAUUGGGGCUAUAGCUGCUAGCCUACACCAUAGCCACAGCAACACCAGAUCUGAGCUGUGUCUGCGACCUACACCACAGCUCAUGGCAACAUUGGAGCCUUAACCCACUGAGGGAGGCCAGGGAUUGAACCUGCAUCCCCAUGGUUACUAGGCAGAUUUGUUUCUGCUGAGCCAUGAUGGGAAUGUCUAUUUUUUUUGUUUGUUUUGUGUGUGUGUGUGUGUGUGUUGUGACUCCGCAUCCUCACCCCCAUUUAUUUUGCCUCUAGAAAGAGUGUUUCCAUAAGAGUUAAUCACACAGACUAUAACAAUUCAGCCAAAAGGAAUGUAAUGUGUGUUAUUUUUGUAGGUGGGAAUUUAUCCACCUCAAGCAAUUCUCUUCAUGUUCUGGAAUGCUUAUGUUAUACUCAUAGCCCCAUAGCAAGGAAGGUAGGGAGUUGUUACUAUUGACUAGAACUAGAUUUGGAAACCUCCCCAUAAAGUUGUGUCAUUAAAAGAUUGUUGAAGUUUUGAAAGAACACCUGAGGAAGUUGGGAAAACUCACAAGGGUACCACCGUACCCUCUCUUUGAAUUAGUGCUCUGUUAUGGUAUCUGUGAUUAUUAUUUCAAGGUAAGAAUAGAAUAUUUGCUCUAAUGAUGAUGAUGUUGACACUAUAAAUGGCCAGCAUUAUUCCAACUAUGGGUUGAUUUUCAGUUCAUAUAAUUAUACUUUAGACUACAAUUAUUGUGUUGAUAUAAAAACAAACAUCCUUCUGAAGACCUAUAUUAAACUUUUGAGUAGCUUCGUGGGUUUAUAAACAUCUUGGUGUGAGGUGAUUCCUGAUAGCCUCUGACAAUGUGAAAUGUUUGAAAAGAAUGUGGAAAACAGAUAUAUCCAAUUUCAGAACUGAAGUUUAAGAUCAUGCUGGUAUUAUAAUAGCGUUUUUUUUUCUGGAUUGCAUAUGAUCCUUGCAGAUCCCUUAAGCCUCUGGAAUCUGUUGUUCUCUUCUAACAGGCUCUACAUUUUUGCAAAAGCUGUCUAUUCAAGGCUACCUCCAAAGAAGUUUUUUCUGUGACAUAAUGGGAAUUGAAUUAUACUCCCAAGCAAUGAAUGCCUAUUUUGCUCAAAGCUCUGUUCUGCACUAUGGAAAACUAGAUUAUCAUUCUUAAUUCUCAGAAUCUUCUAACUAGUGGAAGAUGCAUGAGAGCACAAAGGAGGGUCUGCUUCCUCAAAGGUGUUUAUGUUGUUAAAAAAUAAAAAGAAAAGAAAAGGAAAAAAGAAAAUAUAUUCAAUAAUAUUCAACAUUAGUCCUUUUUUAUCAUUUUCUACACAAUCUGUCUCUGCGUCUCCCUCUUUCACACAUAUACACGUAUGUGCAUUUGCAUAUAAAAUCAGAAUCAAUAAAACAGUGUUCACCAGUAACACUUAAUAGUAUUUAAUAUUUACUGGAAGUUAAAGUCAAAUGCAAGGUGGCUAAAGAAAAAUUAGAAGCUGAAUAUUAGGAGAAAAAGAAGUCAAAUUGUUGACUGCAUAUGAUUUUAUUUUAUUCCUGAAAACUCCUAAAAAAUAAACCACUGCAGAGAAGUGGGGGAGUAAAAGAACAGCAAAAUAUCAUUAGAAAUAAUAAGAAAAGUGAGCAAGACAAAUGGACAUAGAUAAACAUAAAUAUCAGUUCUACUGUGUCUAGAAAUGCCAAACAAAAAUAUAAUGGAAUUAUUUUUUUUUCUAUUAUAAGAUAGAACGAAAAUAAAUUAAAAUAAGCCUAACAAGAUAUGGGCAAAACCUAUAUGAAACUUAAAGUAGAUUCGAAUAGUUAAUGAAAUAAUUAGGAAAUAACUUGUUAUUAGAUGUGGAAAAUAACUGCAUCAUCAAUGCUCUUCAUUUAAUCUCUACCUUCCAUGUGACUCUACAAUUCAUUUGUAAUCAUUAAAUAUUAAAUAAUCACACAAUCCUGCGAAAGAGUAUUAGGUUAAAUUUCUACCUGCCUAUUAAUACAAAAUACAUAUUUAAGAUGAAUCCAUAAAGAUAUAUGAAGAAAAAAAUGAUGAAUAGUGGUGUGGAAAGCUUUUUUUUAGCAGAAUCCCAAGUCUAGAAAGCACACACACACACACACACACGUGCACGUGCUUUGGUGAUUUGACAACCAAGACAUUUGAAUGUAGCAAAAAAUACUAUGAGAAAAGCUAAAGCUCAUUGCAGUAAAGUUUUGAUUUCAACAGUUUAUCAGUAAUUAGAGCAAUUCUUCUCAUUCUUCUGUUCACUUUAGAAAUAAAAAUAACUUCAAAGGAAAAAUGUGCAGAAAUUAAUUGUAAGACAGAAGAUAAACACAGAAGUAAAAAUUAUUAUUUCUGAGAUACAAGUUGAUUAGAUCUAGAUUAUCAUCCAGGAAAAUAGCAAUCUGAUAUUAAAUUCAAAUUCGCCCUGGGAGAUUCCCUCUGCCAACAGUGAAAAAGAUUUAUUUUCCAAAAAGCCACAUAUUACAUCUAUUUGUAUAAUGCUCAUGUCUCAUCAAGGACGACUUCAUUGAAGUCCUCCAUUUCCAGUGCUUUUCCUUUUAUCUGUCUCUUCAGGUGUUUCAAAACAUU
rnacentral:lncRNA from 1 species